rnacentral:rRNA from 1 species
UACGUAGGGUGCAAGCGUUAAUCGGAAUUACUGGGCGUAAAGCGUGCGCAGGCGGUUUUGUAAGUCUGUCGUGAAAUCCCCGGGCUCAACCUGGGAACUGCGCUUGUUACUGGCAGGCUGGAGUGUGGCAGAGGGGGGUGGAAUUCCACGUGUAGCAGUGAAAUGCGUAGAGAUGUGGAGGAACACCGAUGGCGAAGGCAGCCCCCUGGGCUAACACUGACGCUCAUGCACGAAAGCGUGGGGAGCAAACAGG